rnacentral:lncRNA from 1 species
CCCCGCCCGCCCCGCGGAUGGGACUAGGGGACUUCUGGUUCUGGCCGCUGGGAACUGCCUGUCUGCCGCACUGUGGGGAUACGUGUCUAUCUGCGGGUCGGCGGAGAUCGGGUUACGCUGGCCUCGCAAGUUGGGACUGUGCCUCGGAGAGCUGAGGCUGGGCGAAUCUCCCCUCAGUGGAACUCUGUGCGGGGAUCCUUGACACACCGGUGCUCGCGACACCAUUGCGCAGCCAGAGCCUUGGUUGUUCGCCUAGCUUUGUGGAAGGAUAGCUGGACAUCGAGUGGCUUUAGCCUCAGCCUUCGGUGCCCCAGCCUCUGCACUCACCUGUCAACCGGGUUGCCUGACUCCUGCACACACCUAUGUCUCUAUCUGCAAAGGGGGCUGAGAAUUGGGUGCUACUUGAAGAAGGGCAGUCAGUAGCCAUGUCAGCACACAGCCAGAUGCAGAUGAGCUGUGGAGCCACAAGCUGAGAUCAAAGGUGAUAUUUUUACAGCAACUGAAAUAGAAAACCACCGGGCGCACAGUGGGAGGUGAGUGGCCC